rnacentral:snRNA from 1 species
AAUGACAUUUUAUUAUCAUUCAUA